GACGAACCGUGCUAACGUUAUUCGGAAUCACUGGGCUUAAAGGGCGCGUAGGCGGGCCAUCAAGUCAGGGGUGAAAGCCCCCAGCUCAACUGGGGAAGUGCCUCUGAUACUGGUGGCCUCGAGCGAGGUAGGGGCGUGCGGAACUUCCGGUGGAGCGGUGAAAUGCGUAGAUAUCGGAAGGAACAUCGGUGGCGAAAGCGGCGCGCUGGACCUCUUCUGACGCUGAGGCGCGAAAGCCAGGGGAGCGAACGGG
rnacentral:rRNA from 1 species